AUGGUAGGAUAGAGGCCUACCAUGGUGGUAACGGGUAACGGGGUGUUAGGGCACGACACCGGAGAGGGAGCCUGAGAAACGGCUACCACAUCCAAGGAAGGCAGCAGGCGCGCAAAUUACCCAAUCCCGACACGGGGAGGUAGUGACAAUAAAUAACAAUACAGGGUUCUUUGAAUCUUGUAAUUGGAAUGAGUACAAUUUAAAUCUCUUAACGAGGAACAAUUGGAGGGCAAGUCUGGUGCCAGCAGCCGCGGUAAUUCCAGCUCCAAUAGCGUAUAUUAAAGUUGUUGCAGUUAAAAAGCUCGUAGUUGAAUUUCGGGAUCAAUACGUCGGUCGUGCUUUCGGGUACGUACUGGCGUCAUUGGUUUCUCCUUUCUGACGAACCAUGAUGUCAUUAAUUUGGUGUUAUGGGGAGUUAGGACUGCUGCUUUGAAAAAAUUAGAGUGUUUAAAGCAGGCAUUAGCUUGAAUACAUUAGCAUGGAAUAAUGAAAUAGGACGUUCGAUCCUAUUUUGUUGGUUUCUAGGAUCAACGUAAUGAUUAAUAGGGAUAGUUGGGGGCAUUAGUAUUCAAUUGUCAGAGGUGAAAUUCUUGGAUUUAUUGAAGACUAACUACUGCGAAAGCAUUUGCCAAGGAUGUUUUCAUUAAUCAAGAACGAAAGUUAGGGGAUCGAAGACGAUCAGAUACCGUCGUAGUCUUAACCAUAAACUAUGCCGACUAGGGAUCGGAUGAUGUUAAUUUUUUAAUGACUCAUUCGGCGCCUUACGGGAAACCAAAGUGUUUGGG
rnacentral:rRNA from 1 species